UUUUGGAUUAGAUUUUGUUUAUACUUUGAUGCAUAUAAUUGUAAACAAUAACUAUGUACAUAAGUAAGUAAUGUAUGUGUGUAUGUAAGUAAGAAUUGUAUGUGUGUAUGAGAGACUGAGAGAAAGUGAUAGUGAAUGCAAGUGGUUCUCAUUUCUUUUUCUAUUUUCUUUACAUUGGUAUUUCCUGAUAUUUAUUUAUCUAUUCAUAAAUUUUUACUCUUUCCUUUUUUUUUUUUUUUUUUUUUUGUUAUUUCUUAAUUACUUGCAGUGUGUUUUAAAGUUUAUCUUAGUUAUUUAACUUUAAUUUAUUUUU
rnacentral:lncRNA from 1 species